rnacentral:rRNA from 1 species
GAACGCUGGCGGCGUGCUUAACACAUGCAAGUCGAACGGAAAGGCCCUGCUUUUGUGGGGUGCUCGAGUGGCGAACGGGUGAGUAACACGUGAGUAACCUGCCCUUGACUUUGGGAUAACUUCAGGAAACUGGGGCUAACACCGGAUAGGAGCUCCUGCUGCAUGGUGGGGGUUGGAAAGUUUCGGCGGUUGGGGAUGGACUCGCGGCUUAUCAGCUUGUUGGUGGGGUAGUGGCUUACCAAGGCUUUGACGGGUAGCCGGCCUGAGAGGGUGACCGGCCACAUUGGGACUGAGAUACGGCCCAGACUCCUACGGGAGGCAGCAGUGGGGAAUAUUGCACAAUGGGCGGAAGCCUGAUGCAGCAACGCCGCGUGCGGGAUGACGGCCUUCGGGUUGUAAACCGCUUUCGCCUGUGACGAAGCGUGAGUGACGGUAAUGGGUAAAGAAGCACCGGCUAACUACGUG